UCCCAAACUGGGAUUAGAUACCCCACUAUGCUUAGCCAUAAACACAAAAAUUUAUACAACAAAAAUUUUCGCCUGAGAACUACUAGCCACAGCUUAAAACUCAAAGGACUUGGCGGUGCUUUAUACCCACCUAGAGGAGCCUGUUCUAUAAUCGAUAAACCCCGAUACACCUCACCACUUCUUGCUAAUACAGCCUAUAUACCGCCAUCUUCAGCAAACAA
rnacentral:rRNA from 1 species